CGGGUUGCGGACAGUGUCUGGUGGGUAGUUUGACUGGGGCGGUCUCCUCCUAAAGAGUAACGGAGGAGCACGAAGGUUGGCUAAUCCUGGUCGGACAUCAGGAGGUUAGUGCAAUGGCAUAAGCCAGCUUGACUGCGAGCGUGACGGCGCGAGCAGGUGCGAAAGCAGGUCAUAGUGAUCCGGUGGUUCUGAAUGGAAGGGCCAUCGCUCAACGGAUAAAAGGUACUCCGGGGAUAACAGGCUGAUACCGCCCAAGAGUUCAUAUCGACGGCGGUGUUUGGCACCUCGAUGUCGGCUCAUCACAUCCUGGGGCUGAAGUAGGUCCCAAGGGUAUGGCUGUUCGCCAUUUAAAGUGGUACGCGAGCUGGGUUUAGAACGUCGUGAGACAGUUCGGUCCCUAUCUGCCGUGGGCGCUGGAGAACUGAGGGGGGCUGCUCCUAGUACGAGAGGACCGGAGUGGACGCAUCACUGGUGUUCGGGUUGUCAUGCCAAUGGCACUGCCCGGUAGCUAAAUGCGGAAGAGAUAAGUGCUGAAAGCAUCUAAGCACGAAACUUGCCCCGAGAUGAGUUCUCCCUGACUCCUUGAGAGUCCUGAAGGAACGUUGAAGACGACGACGUUGAUAGGCCGGGUGUGUAAGCGCAGCGAUGCGUUGAGCUAACCGGUACUAAUGAACCGUGAGG
rnacentral:rRNA from 1 species